rnacentral:rRNA from 1 species
AUUGAACGCUGGCGGCAGGCCUAACACAUGCAAGUCGAGCGGCAGCGGGAAAGUAGCUUGCUACUUUUGCCGGCGAGCGGCGGACGGGUGAGUAAUGCCUGGGAAAUUGCCCAGUCGAGGGGGAUAACAGUUGGAAACGACUGCUAAUACCGCAUACGCCCUACGGGGGAAAGCAGGGGACCUUCGGGCCUUGCGCGAUUGGAUAUGCCCAGGUGGGAUUAGCUAGUUGGUGAGGUAAUGGCUCACCAAGGCGACGAGCUCUAGCUGGUCUGAGGGGAUGAUCAGCCACACGUGAACGGAGACACGGUCCAGACUCCUACGGGAGGCAGCGGUGGGGAAUAUUGCACAAUGGGGGAAACCCUGAUGCAGCCAGGCCGCGGGUGUGAAGAAGGCCUUCGGGUUGUAAAGCACUUUCAGCGAGGAGGAAAGGUUGUUGGCUAAUAUCCAACAGCUGUGACGUUACUCGCAGAAGAAGCACCGGCUAACUCCGUGCCAGCCGCCGCGGUAACAC